GAGCUGAGCUGCACACCCUGGUCACACACUAAGCAAACUCUCCCCAGGUGUGCACGUAGAGCCGACCCUCCGUCAGCAUCCUGUCAUGCACAAGAUGUUUAUCCAAUUUGUCAAGAUAAUCUUUCCUCAAACAAGCGCUGGGCCCAGUCCCCGGGACACACUGACUGGCUGGCUGCUGGGCCUGAAAUGCAACCCUGGCCUCCAUCUCUCUGCAUCAACUCCAUUCUGCCUCGCAGGAAACCAAGGCUUACUGCUGCUAGUUUGGACACACAUAGACCUCCCUGGCUUGUGAUAGCCUGCUGUCCUGAAAAGAGUGAUGAAUGCAUCUGUCUGUCUGGACGAGAAACUCCCAGACACAUAUUCACCUCCACCUUCUGUCUGUCUGAGCAGACACCCGGCCCAUCCAGGCAGGCAGGCCCGGAGCAGCGCGACGAGUGGCCCACGUGGAGGGGAGUGCUGCUGUGCUGCAAAAGCUUCAGACAGCCCAGAAGUGGGACUAGUCCAGCCAGUUACUCACUGGAGCUUUAGCAGCAGACCAGGACCAAACAAGAGACAUUGCCACAGAACACCCACCCACUGGCUGCCAUUGUAUCACAGGGGGCCCACUAUCUGGCCUGUGUGUUUUUGCAUGCAAUCGCUUUAUCUGGAUACCACCAUGCUCGAUGCAGGCUCAUGAAACGACUAUAAUGACAAGAUGCUACAAGACGUACAGUACCACAGACAGUGUUCCUCCAGUCAAGCCCUGGGUUCACUCCUCUACAGUUAACACAGUGUUUAUCCCCCUUUCAUUGUGUCAAUUACAGUGUCAGUCACUCAUCAGAGAAACAGAUCAGCUGCGUGCUUAGCAUGCAUUCCAGCAGACUCAUCUGAGCACUAAAAUCCUUCUGCCAUCUUUCUGUGACCCAAUGACACAGCUGGAUCCAUUUCAAGAACAAGAGAGGUAAGGUGUCUUAAGGCAAGGAGACAGUAGCUGGGUGAGGGAUCCACCUUGUAGUCUAUAGCAACCCCAUCCGUCUUCCUCCAGGCCUGAGACCUGAACACUAUGACUACCUGUCACAUCACCGUAUUCUCAUGGACU